rnacentral:rRNA from 1 species
CCUACGGGAGGCUGCAGUGGGGAAUAUUGGACAAUGGGGGGAACCCUGAUCCAGCCAUGCCGCGUGUGUGAAGAAGGCCCUCGGGUUGUAAAGCACUUUCAGUGAGGAAGAACGCCUGGUGGUUAAUACCCAUCAGGAAAGACAUCACUCACAGAAGAAGCACCGGCUAACUCCGUGCCAGCAGCCGCGGUAAUACGGAGGGUGCGAGCGUUAAUCGGAAUUACUGGGCGUAAAGCGCGCGUAGGUGGCUUGAUAAGCCGGUUGUGAAAGCCCCGGGCACAACCUGGGAACGGCAUCCGGAACUGUCAAGCUAGAGUGCAGGAGAGGAAGGUAGAAUUCCCGGUGUAGCGGUGAAAUGCGUAGAGAUCGGGAGGAAUACCAGUGGCGAAGGCGGCCUUCUGGACUGACACUGACACUGAGGUGCGAAAGCGUGGGUAGCAAACAGGAUUAGAUACCCUAGUAGUC